CGCCACAGCCAUAUCAACCUGCAGCCUAAGACUGGUUGCCCACUGAAGCUAAGCAGAGCUGAGCCUGGUCAGUACCUGGAUGGGAGACCUCCUGGGAAAACUAGGUUGCUGUUGGAA
rnacentral:rRNA from 1 species